UACGAAGGGGGCUAGCGUUGCUCGGAAUCACUGGGCGUAAAGCGCACGUAGGCGGAUGUGUCAGUCAGGGGUGAAAUCCCGGGGCUCAACCUCGGAACUGCCUUUGAUACAGCACGUCUCGAGUCCGGAAGAGGUGGGUGGAAUUCCUAGUGUAGAGGUGAAAUUCGUAGAUAUUCGGAAGAACACCAGUGGCGAAGGCGACUUACUGGACACAUAUUGACGCUGAGGUGCGAAAGCGUGGGGAGCAAACAGG
rnacentral:rRNA from 1 species